UACAGAGGUCUCAAGCGUUGUUCGGAUUUACUGGGCGUAAAGGGUGCGUAGGUGGUGAGGUAAGUCUGAUGUGAAAUCUCCGAGCUUAACUCGGAAAUGGCAUUGGAAACUACCUUGCUAGAGGGUUGGAGGGGGGACUGGAAUACUUGGUGUAGCAGUGAAAUGCGUAGAUAUCAAGUGGAACACCAGUGGCGAAGGCGAGUCCCUGGACAACUCCUGACACUGAGGCACGAAAGCUAGGGGAGCAAACAGG
rnacentral:rRNA from 1 species